CAUCGACUGUUCUUCCUCUCAUCUACACAGCAUCCGAUUAUCCUUACAGCCAGUGGUGAAUCCUCCGUCUUAUAAGGCUCAGCACCAUCAUAACCCAGCCCACACCUCGUGGCAGAGGAAUCCUCACUGAGCCACCAGCCUCUAACCUCUCCAUGCCAUCGUAUGACAUCAUAUGACACCUGUGUCAAGCCUCAGAAACUCUUUCAAGGAGCCCUGGCUAGGCAGUUAAGAAGCAUAUUUGACCCAGGGAUCGAAUUCCCACCCUCUGCGCAUCUUCUGCAUUGCAAGUGGAUUCUUCCCACCAGGGAAGUCCAUUGAGUCUCCACAGCUGCUGCUGCUGCUAAGUCGAUUCAGUCGUGUCCGACUCUGUGCGACCCCAAAGAUGGCAGCCCACCAGGCUCCCCCAUCCCUGGGAUUCUCCAGGUAAGAACACUGGAGUGGGUUGCCAUUGCCUUCUCCAAUGCAUGAAAGUGAAAAGUGAAAGUGAAGUCGCUCAGUCAUGUCCGACUCAACGACCCCGUGGACUGCAGCCUACCAGGCUCCUCCACCCAGGGGAUUUUUCAGGCAAGAGGACUGGAGUGGGG
rnacentral:lncRNA from 1 species